CCUGCAUAUUUCAGGAAAGUGGCUUCUAAGUGACGAGUCUGAAUUACGUUGAUUUCUCAUAGUCUGAGGUUGGAGGAAAACCAUGACCAUUACUUCUUACGCUGUUUUCAAGAGAUGAAAAGAAAAAAACGAAUGAAAAUUUCAGUUUUUAGAGUAAUAAUAGCAAGAACUUUGGAGAUAAUAUCAAUAUAAAUUACUUUACUUAUGCCUGAAAGUAUUCUGAUGGAAUUCUUCGUGUUUAAUCAUGAAGGAUCGUAUUAUGAAUGGAAAAAUAGGCAGAAUCUCCUGUAACUGAUAUUAGUGCAGCGCAUUCUGCAAUGACCUCAUUCGAGGUCAUUUAAUUGAACAACGGCUUAAUACCACUCAUCUGUGCAGUAAAUAUCAUUUCGGUUCUAGCCGCAAAUUCUAAAUAUGGGAGAUGUCUGGAAUGGUGGAAAAAAUAGUACUCAAGUGAUAUCGGUAUUCAUAGGUCAGACAACUUACGACCAUUAUUCAUUCAUUUUUCUUGGAUAAGUGUGCUGUCACCAUCAGAAAUACGGCUUUCUCGGCUCCAUAUACAAGCCACCAAUUUCCUUAAGAUAAUUUGCAGUGUCAAAUUCACAGGACGUCCUACAUGUUUGUACCCAAGUGAUCACGGCAAAAGAUGCUAUUUGGAGCCUUCAACCUUGAAAUUCGG